UACGUAGGGUGCAAGCGUUGUCCGGAAUUAUUGGGCGUAAAGAGCUCGUAGGCGGUCUGUCACGUCGGCUGUGAAAACCUGGGGCUCAACUCCGGGCCUGCAGCCGAUACGGGCAGACUAGAGGUAUGCAGGGGAGAAUGGAAUUCCUGGUGUAGCGGUGAAAUGCGCAGAUAUCAGGAGGAACACCGGUGGCGAAGGCGGUUCUCUGGGCAUUACCUGACGCUGAGGAGCGAAAGUGUGGGGAGCGAACAGG
rnacentral:rRNA from 1 species